AAUCAACGCUGGCGGCGUGCCUCAGACAUGCAAGUCGAACGCGAAAGUCCCCUUCGGGGGGCGAGUAGAGUGGCGCACGGGUGAGUAACACGUAGGUAAUCUACCUUUGGAUGGGGAAUAACAACCGGAAACGGUUGCUAAUACCGCAUAAUGCAGCGGCACCUAAUGGUGACAGUUGUUAAAGCGGGGGAUUGAAAGACCUCGCGUCUGAAGAGGAGCCUGCGGCGGAUUAGCUAGUUGGAAGGUAACGGCUUACCAAGGCGACGAUCCGUAGCCGGCCUGAGAGGGCGGUCGGCCACACUGACACUGACAUACGGGUCAGACUCCUACGGGAGGCAGCAGUCGGGAAUUUUGGGCAAUGGGCGAAAGCCUGACCCAGCAACGCCGCGUGAAGGAUGAAAUCCCUCGGGAUGUAAACUUCGCAAGAACGGGAAGAAUAAGUAGGGGACAAUACCCCCUAUGAUGACGGUACCGUUUGUAAGCUCCGGCUAACUCCGUGCCAGCCGCCGCGGUAAG
rnacentral:rRNA from 1 species